rnacentral:rRNA from 1 species
UACGGGGGGGGCAAGCGUUGUUCGGAAUUACUGGGCGUAAAGGGCUCGUAGGCGGCCAACUAAGUCGGAUGUGAAAUCCCCAGGCUCAACCUGGGAACUGCAUCCGAUACUGGAUGGCUUGAAUCCGGGAGAGGGAUGCAGAAUUCCAGGUGUAGCGGUGAAAUGCGUAGAUAUCUGGAGGAACACCGGUGGCGAAGGCGCACAUCUGGCCCGAUACUGACGCUGAAGCGCGAAAGCUAGGGGAGCAAACGGG